AGCGAACGCUGGCGGCAAGCCUAACACAUGCAAGUCGAACGAACCCUUCGGGGUUAGUGGCGGACGGGUGAGUAACACGUGGGAACGUGCCUUUAGGUUCGGAAUAACUCAGGGAAACUUGUGCUAAUACCGAAUGUGCCCUUCGGGGGAAAGAUUUAUCGCCUUUAGAGCGGCCCGCGACUGAUUAGCUAGUUGGUGAGGUAAUGGCUCACCAAGGCUACGAUCAGUAGCUGGUCUGAGAGGAUGACCAGCCACAUUGGGACUGAGACACGGCCCAAACUCCUACGGGAGGCAGCAGUGGGGAAUCUUGCGCAAUGGGCGAAAGCCUGACGCAGCCAUGCCGCGUGGAUGAUGAAGGUCUUAGGAUUGUAAAAUCCUUUCACCGGUGAAGAUAAUGACUGUAGCCGGAGAAGAAGCCCCGGCUAACUUCGUGCCAGCCGCCGCAGUAAAAC
rnacentral:rRNA from 1 species